ACAAAAAAUGCUAUAACGCAUUUGUAGCUUAACAACACUAAUGAAAAGGAACAAAAACAAAAAGCAUUGCUUAACGGCAAUUUUCAUUGUUAUUGUUCAUUUUCGCGAUCUCCAUUUGGUAAACUUUGCUCUUCCGAACUGAGUAUACGUUGAACUUGCAAAUAUUCUUUGCACAUACAAGACAGUCCAAUCGCAAUUUCGUUUAAGUAAUCGCAAGCCCGGCUCACUAAAUCCCCUCGUCUUUGAACUGCAAAUGAACGGUUUGUUCUGCGACACAAAAUCCAAGUAAGAUGAUCAGCCAUGUACCGGUUAUGGUUUUAGUACAGCUGAAUGUUCGUCGUUUGAGUUAAAAACGAACGGUAAACCUAGGAUUGAAAUUGCUUUCCAGCCGGAUUUCACUGUUACACGUAUUACGAAACCGUUUAUUUUACAACAUUUCAAUAGAUAACAUAAGAUAGAUUGCUUCUUCUGUGCGAUAAAACUUAACCACACAUCCCAAAAACGUUAAAAACACUGAAAUCAAUUUAACUGAACUGUGUGCUGCUUUGCUCCUAACAUCUAUCUAUAUGUGGACUUAUGAAAUGAACGAAGAAAAGAAAUUCUUUCAUGCAUAGCAUGGUUAUUUCCGUAUACCUUUUAUGCGCGCUAAUGCUCCCGAAAACACUAAGCGUGGUUUAUGGUACGCUCAUUUCGAUGGCCAAUGGAUAGCAAGACAAAUGGAUUACAUGCUGAUAAACCGCCUAUACUACUUACAGAAUGGAGCAGUUGAAUUUAAUCCGUUCCCUUUUGGUUAAAAAUUGGAAACAAUUUCAUUAAAAAUCUUCAAUACAAAUUUUACGACCACAAACGCUUUUUUUCAAUUUUUUCACAAAACUCGUAAGCAAACCUAUAAAAGUGAAUAUGGAUAUACAACAUGAAUAGGUUGAACUCUGAUAACUUUACGGCUCUCUCUACCCUUUAUGUCUUUAUACCUGACAUCAUUUGUUGUGUAGAUUGUAUUAAUUUUGUGCGAAUAUAUGUAACACACAGAAGAACUUAAGCAUAUUUGUCGGUCUGAGGUCUGUCCAUGUAGUGCCUACUGAUCGCAAUCUCAUCCUAUCGUCUUCACUUGAAAAAAGAGUUUGUAUGGAAAAAUAAAAAAUUUUCAACAGCUUUCAGCAAAAACCAGUAGGAAAUAAUAGACGUGGAAAAUUUGAAUCGGAUGAGAUAAUUCUUUUGCAAGCAUCAUAUAUAAAUUGAGCAAACUUAAUUAUACUCUACACCACUUGUGAUACAGGGUAUAUUAAGUUGUAUUAAGAUGUAUGCAACCCCAACUCCCAGAAGAAUUGAAAGUAGACUUGAAUUUGGAAAACGAAGGGAAUUCUAAAUCGAUCCAAAAGAAAACCUCCGGAUGCUUUAAUUGCUCUGCUGCGUCUCCCAUCCUGAAAAUCAAGCCAAAGCUGAUAACAAAUAUAGUUUCAAGACAUCGCACUCCACUGUGAGAACUUAGCAACUUGUCAGUAGAUGGUUGCACGCUUUUUUUACAAACAGCGAUAGAAACCAAGAUUGUUAAUUAAAAACUUCAUAUUCAUAAGUUAGACCGGCGUGUGCGAAAAUACUUACUAUUUUUCUUUCAAGAUCUGAAAAAUAGACUACAAGAAGAAUGAAGUAGAAUGCCUCUUUUCUAUACAAGAAAAAUUACACAAACAAAAUAUGUCAAAACGUUUAUAUGACAUAAGCAAAAGGUGUACCCCACCAAAUAUUAAUUAUUGAUAAUAUGCUCUUUUUCGUCUUCGUGUCCUUCCAAAUAUGAAAAGAAUUAUUAAUGACGCUACGUUUUUGGAGUUGCGGAAGUUAUUUAAUUUUCUAAUCUACUGAAACGAUGUCUCCUUCCUUUUUUUUUUUAAAUUCUAGUAUCUAUUCCCUAGUAGUAUAAAAUAGUAAAAACAAUUUUUAUGUUUGGACAAUGGACUAGGUUUAACAAACGGUUAUUUUUUGUCGAGUGGAAAAACCGACUAUUAAUAAGACGCGCUGUGGGUCUGAAAUAUUUUUGGAGAAACGACCAUUUAAAAUAACCGCUAAUGCGUUUAGCGCAAUAUCUGAGGGAUGCAUACAGUUACCUAAUAAAUAGGAAAAAUAUAUAUAGUAGAUUUUAGGAAGAAUAAAUAAAUAGAUAGAUAUACAGAAAAAUGAUAGUAAUUCUCCAAAACCUAAAGAAAAUCAUAAAAAUUAUAAAAAAAAGUAUUCACAUCAACAUACGAAAAUUCAACGGAUAAACCGACCAAAAAGUCGAAAUUAAACGUUCUAUUGCUUUUGCUCAUACAACAAUAAUAUAACAAUAAUAUUUACUUCACUACGUAUGGCGUGCAUCGUAUCAAAAACUGGAAUCCAUCCGGAAGGGACCGUACCUUUGCCAUGUGUAGCCCGACUAAAUAACUCUAAGCAAAGAGGAUUCAAACUAAUAUUUACUUUACCAAUGGCAUCAUUGGCGGAGUAGGUAAUGAGAGCACAAAGUCGGCCUGUAUAGCAUAUGACUUAUAUAUAUAACAUUUUUGUGUACUAGCGAAUACGAAUACUAGCGCAACAUCAAAGAAGGCAAAUUUAUUUAUAUUCAUAUGCAUUUCUAUUCCACAUAAUUCAAAUGUUUCUGUUGAAUGUUCAGUUGUUCAAACGAAUUCAUUAAUUGAAAUGCUAAUACAAUAUAUCACGCAAAAUAUUAUUCUCUUUACACCAAAAUAUUGUUAAGAUGUUAUAGAGAAAUUGAAAAAAUGAUAAAUUUAGAUAAAUAAAAUCAGUAGGUAAAAUGUAUACCGUAGAAACUAGGAAAAAAAAAUUUUUUUUUUUUUUGGUUGAACGGAGAUGGAUGAAAAAUAAUUAUAGUAUUAAUUUUUUGUUAGCAAAAUACACACGCAGAAAAAAUUGUCCCAAUUUAGGAAAAUAUGUCAAACCUACUUGUAAAGAAAAGUUUGCGUCAAAAUAUCAAAAAUCCAAAAUAAAUGUCAAACGCAAAAAAGCCAAAAAUAAAUAUUGUCUUGCUUACCUUGAUACUUUAAAUUGCUUAAGCAAACGUACGCACCAGCGUAAAAUAUAAAGAGAGAAAGCAUGCCAGUUGAAUUUGUAUGAAAAACACAAGUAAAAUAUAAAGAGAGAAAGCAUGCUACUGCACAUUUCUGCUACAACAUAUAUUUUACAUCUUCAUAGUGCACAGUUUACACAUACAUAGUGCACAAACCUCUAUAAAAGCGCUCAUUCUAGUUCUCUUAAUCUUUUAUUCUUUUUCCACCUUUCAUAUCAUACCGAAAACAUUACAUUUGUAAGCACAAAGGUCGGCACUAAGGUCGGCACAAAAUAGCGAAC